ACUUCUAACCGUACUUCGCAGCCUAUAUAAGGGAGGGGUUUUCUGCUCUCUGGCUCUCCUCUCCUGAAGCUGAUCAUCUAUCUCUUAAGAUGUAUUAAAGCUUUACUGCAGAAGGAUCCGAGUGGCCUGCGUGCGUUUUGCUGGUGAGACGGUAGCAUGGGUCACACCAUGAGCUUCCUGACCUGCUUGAGUUCCAGUCCUGACAUCCUUCAGUGAUGAACAGCCAUGUGAAAAGUAUCAGGAUAAUAGUGGAUGUGAAGUGCCAGAGACCAGCUCCAGUUGCAAGGUUCAGGUCCUGAGACAGGGAAGGGGUGAAGACACUGAAGGGGUGAAGACACUGAGCACCUGCUGACUUUCAGAUCAAAGCUGAUGCCUUUUAAAAUUGUUUAUGAAGCAGCUGACGUGGGAGACGAAGAACCUGUAAGCAGCGAUAACACAUGAAGGAUUAGAACUCAGGAUCCCAUGAUCUUCAGAAGGAAAAGACUUAUGAGAAUCAUCAAGAUAAAAUAGAAACAUACAGAAGGAAACAGACAGCUUUACCGAUGGAUGAACCAUAAAUGUGCUCUCAGGUGGUUGAGAGAUAUUGCUGAUGUCUGUUCAUAGCAAGGUAGGUCUAGGUAGACUGACUGACCUCCGAGUGUACUGUUUUACUACUCUUCCACAAGUGAUUCCUCCCUUCCGCCUUAACGAGGUUAUAGAGUACUGAGAUUUGAAAGAAAGCAUCAAGAAAUUGCAACAUGAAUGAUGGAUGAAGUAAAUCAAGAUGGAUUAACAGCUGUGGUAUAUAUAGCUGUGAGCAUUGCAAAGCAUCAUGCAAGCACAGGCAGAGCACACUUGGAACUGGAAAGAGGAAGACUGGAGAGCUACACAGAUCUCCAAGGACUUUAACUUUUCAGUCCUUUGUUCAUUGUGAUGGCUUUUAGGCCUCUACCAAAGCUCUGCUUUUAUUUUGAGAACUCUCUUUCCUUCAAUCUUUUAACAUCCCUUUAUCAAUUUAAAUAAAACACAUCUUGUUUAUUUUGUCUG
rnacentral:lncRNA from 1 species